rnacentral:rRNA from 1 species
GACGAACGCUGGCGGCGUGCCUAAUACAUGCAAGUAGAACGCUGAAGGAGGAGCUUGCUCUUCUGGAUGAGUUGCGAACGGGUGAGUAACGCGUAGGUAACCUGCCUGGUAGCGGGGGAUAACUAUUGGAAACGAUAGCUAAUACCGCAUAAGAGUAGAUGUUGCAUGACAUUUACUUAAAAGGUGCAAUUGCAUCACUACCAGAUGGACCUGCGUUGUAUUAGCUAGUUGGUGGGGUAACGGCUUACCAAGGCGACGAUACAUAGCCGACCUGAGAGGGUGAUCGGCCACACUGGGACUGAGACACGGCCCAGACUCCUACGGGAGGCAGCAGUAGGGAAUCUUCGGCAAUGGACGGAAGUCUGACCGAGCAACGCCGCGUGAGUGAAGAAGGGUUUCGGAUCGUAAAGCUCUGUUGUAAGAGAAGAACGAGUGUGAGAGUGGAAAGUUCACACUGUGACGGUAGCUUACCAGAAAGAGACGGCUAACUACGUG